AAAGUGCGAUAAGCAAUGCGAAUUGCAGAAUUCCGCGAAUCAUCAGAUCCUUGAACGCAACUUGCGCCAAGAGGCUCUCCUUUUGGCAUGUCUGUUUCAGUGUCUGAAAACAUCACAUCUUAUCUUAAUGUGGCUGAGAAUGAGGAGUGAUUUUCACUCUCUCAAACUCUUCCAUUAAAGAUGCACAUGUGGGUCUUUGGAUCCCUCAUCGAAUUGGUCACUGUUCCUCAGUGAUUUCGAUAGGUGAAUCUAAUUAUCUAAAUACAUGUAGGAACUUUUACCCCAACGUUCAACUCUGCAUCUGAAAUCAGGCAAGAACACCCGCUGAACUUAA
rnacentral:misc_RNA from 1 species